rnacentral:rRNA from 1 species
UCGGGAAUUUUGGGCAAUGGGCGAAAGCCUGACCCAGCAACGCCGCGUGGGGGAUGAAGUAUUUCGGUAUGUAAACCUCGAAAGAAUGGGAAGAAUAAAUGACGGUACCAUUUAUAAGCUCCGGCUAACUACGUGCCAGCAGCCGCGGUAAUACGUAGGGAGCAAGCGUUGUUCGGAUUUACUGGGCGUAAAGGGCGCGUAGGCGGCGCGGUAAGUCACUUGUGAAAUCUCUGAGCUUAACUCAGAACGGCCAAGUGAUACUGCUGUGCUAGAGUGCGGAAGAGNCAACCGGAAUUCUUGGUGUAGCGGUGAAAUGCGUAGAUAUCAAGAGGAACACCUGAGGCGAAGGCGGGUUGCUGGGCCGACACUGACGCUGAUGCGCGAAAGCCAGGGGAGCAAACG